rnacentral:lncRNA from 1 species
AGUCAUCCUCAGUCAUCCAAUCACGAAUGGCUCACUCCAGAGCUAUCGGAUCGUGCAAAAAAUGCCCGUGGACUGCGCAUGGACCAUGUGAUUGGUCCACGUAGCCUCCUGCGAUCCACGGUGGACCGCCCAUGUUAUAGCCCAAAACCCAGCCCAACCAAGCCCAAUCCAACAGACCCAAAGCCCAAAACAAAAAUAAAAAAAAAGAAAAAUAGAGUAAAACUGGGAAGAAGACUCCCGGUAGGAGUCCUCUUCUUCGGUGAAACCCAGG